CAUCGCCCUGAUUGGCUCCUAGAGGCGGGCAGCCGGGGCGGAUCGACUGAUGCGCGCCCGGGCACCGCGGCCAUUGGGCGACAGGCGGAGCGGGCGCCGCCUGGGAGGGGGCUAGCGCGCCCGGGAAGAAAGAAAGGGAGCAUUCAGGAUAGACUGUUCAAUAAGCCGUGUUUGUUGAACACAUAGAAACGACAGCGGCACCGAGAGGGCUAGCGCUUUGAGCUGCUUUUCCAAGAAUGGAAGUGGAUUUGCUUUGAUCCAUUCAUGUGACCAGGGACAUACUUUGUGAGGGCUAGCGACAUAAUGCGUGACUGCCAAGUCUUUCCGGAGGGAACAAGAGGCUUGUCUUCCUCGGUCCACCCUACACUUACUUAACCAGCGGAAACCAUGCUCGCACGGGUCCAAGGACCGGCCAGGGACAUUUAAAAGCACAUGAGGGAAGAAAAAGCAGAAAAUGGCCUGUUAUGAACUGGUUCGCCCCCAGAAGCUCAGACUACUUUUGGAGAAGUUAAAAGUAGAACAGCCUGUUUCAUCCAGUUUGACUUUGCUGUGUCCGCUGCCCUCUGUUCUCCUUCCUCUUCUUCCCGAAAAUGAAAUCCACCCCCGUCCCCCACCCCCUCCGAAGUCAGGUUUUUGCCUGACUUCGUCCAAGCGGUAGGUGGAGUGGGAGAGCAAUGUUUUAGGUAAAGAAUUUGUUCCAAGUCCAAGGAGUGGGCCAGGGACUAAAAGCAUUUUUUCACUGUUGCUCUGUUGCCUGAAAUCAAGGCCUUGUCUUGGAUGGGUUUUA